GUUUAUAAUGUUCUGUUUCAUGCUGUCUAACCACUGCGAUCUCAGAGUCGUUGUGCCAGAUCACAGUCGGCAAACAACCACGUUAUGGAGGUACAGAGGUCUUUAAAAGUCUUUUAUUCACCGUGAAUACAGACAUAAUAGAACAGACUGAGCUAUAAUAUCCAGAAAGGUAUCUAUUUUGCUAGCUUGGCCAGUAAAAUUUGUUCUACCAGGACUCCUCUUUAAGCGUGGAAUGUCCAGCUCCUCUACGAACUGGUUCACUGACUAAAGUCUGCUUUACAGGUUCACUUUUCACGCUCUUUCAUUGCUUUCAGUUUUGAUAAAUCUUUGGUAAUAAGCUUACGUGAGUGUGAACUUAGCAGCGCACAGAAAAAAAAACUGCAUUUGUAGCAUCAAAGAAAACUUGAAUGCGUCAUAAACUUUGAUUUAUCCUUAAUCAUCUUUGAUUUAUUGUCAGUGGAAAUGUCAUAUCCAUAAAUGUGAAUAGCUAAAAACUAAACCAAAUGUUAUACACUUUAAAAUUGAAAAAGAGCAUAAUAUACAUGCGUUUCCAGGACUGAAAUACGCUAAAUCUAAUAAACAAAUACAUAAACUUGGCGUACUGAAACACUUGAGUUUACUUCUCUGAUUUUUUGGGCACUUUUUUCUUUGUGUACCUUGAUGGCUUUAUACAAAUUAUUGGAGAAAACAACGAAAUCAAAACCAUAAAUACAUCAUCAAAUAGAAAAACUUUGAAGUGUAUAUAAGACGUAUGUAUAAAAGACUCUUUAUGAGAAGUAAUGUCUGAAUAGAAUACAUCCCUGUUUUGUACAGGUUAAUAUACAGUUUUGUGUUGAGAUUCAAAAAGCAAGAAAGAAAAUUCAAAUGACUGGCAGAGUUUUUGACCAAUUAAAACACGGCAGAGGAGGAGCUGAGCAGUCUGACUCCGCCCCCUGGAGGCUCAGUGCAGCAGCGCGCGCUUUCUCCAAGCGUUCGAUUUGACUGUUUAAACAAGCGCGACUGUUAGGAGCUGUUUAACACUCAGUACUCACCACCUUAUCUGACGGUCACGGAUUAAACGUUUAUUGAUCGCGUUUAUACGAAAAUCUCUUCAAAAAGUCUGGCUUACUUUAUUUUAGUUUAGAGUUUAUGGUGUUACGUGCAUCCAGACUUCGGAGAUUUCAGCUCUGAAGACCGAAGACUCCGCAAGUGCAUUGAGGACCGCUACCCGUUACACCGGUACCCUAAAGCCCUGCAUUUAAAGGUGAGGAGUAAUGAGUAUCUUAACCAGUUAGUUUGAGCUGAGCUCUGUACACAUAUUCAGCUAAUUCAUCUCCAGGUCAGUCUGACAGUAAAAUCACUAGCGUUAGUUAGCUAGGCUAAAGUUAGCUGGUUUGUCCUCUGAGGCCCUGCAGUUGUCGCUUAGCGAAAGGGAAUGUUAGUAAAAACGAAAGAGUGGUUAGCCUGAAUGUAAGAUUGGGCUACAUCCCUGUAAAGUUCGAACUAGGGUGUAUCAGUAUCACAGGGUAAUGGUCACAGUCAAUCUGAGAGUGUUUAAAUACAUCCACUAUCCAUUAUUUUCCAAAACUUUGAAGAAGACAUUACUUUGGAAAUAGAGCCAGUCAUUCUGUUUGAUGCACCUUUUGUGCUCAUUGUCACUGUGUAUUUGAACAGCGACAAAAUUGUUGCUUCCUGUUCAAUGUUGAUUUUUUACAUCAGCAGAUCACAGUAUCUUUAGCUCUGUAUGUCAAAAACAGCCCCCAGAAAGAACUGCAUAUAAAGUGUUCUCCUUGUCCUUGUUUCAGUUUUUUGUAGAAUGUCCUGUGUUAUUGCUAUAAUUAAUAUAGUCAUUUUUUUUGUCUUGUACAGAUGAUCAUUUCUGAAGAGGUGAACAUUUCACAGGAGUAGUGCCACCACAAAAACCCAGGCUAAGACCCUCUUUACAUCAGAAACAUUUACAGCUUUGUAUCUGUAGUAGGCAACACUUAACAUAUGUUAUUCUGAUGUUCUUUAAUCUGUUUUUUUCUGUUGUUUUUCAAGUCAGUUUAAGGAUUAACUUCAAAAGACUAAGUAGGAAUGGCUGGACAUGGAAAUGUUCCAAUUUCCAGUAAUCGAUGAGGACCGAGGAGCAAGAGAGAGACAGAAAAGCAGAGAGAGAGAGAGAGAUGAAUGGCAGACAGUGUGUGCUGCUCUGGAACUAAAGGGAAAUGAUAUCCUCUGCACUGCCCUGAACCCUGGCUGGGUAUGCACGGAUACAGAAGGACAACAGGUCUCAUGAAGAGGACUCUGUUUCGUUGUUCUGCCUGACAACUGCAACAGCAGCUCCCAUCUUUCUCUUCGCCGUGUUUACAUCUGCGCGACAGACAGCACUCUGUCAUCCUAUUGGUUAACGUGAAGGAAUGUGUUGUAGGCGAUGUCAAAUUAAGCAGAAAAGUACAAAACAUUUCGAUGUGCUUGACUUCAUCAUCAGGGUGUUGUGAGUCCCAGACGCCACAUCGCUGUUCUUUGAUUAUGUCACACUGCAAGAGCUGUUCAUCAUUCCUGACGCUCAUGUUCAGGCCCAACGCUGGAAAUUUCUUGACUGCAACAAAAUCAUGCCAUAAUUGAGCUGAAUUUUUGUAGUCUGAUCCCGGCAUAAGGUAAUCUGUCCGUGAAUUGAUCUCCCAGAACAUACAGCACAUUCUGAGUAUGCAGUUGAUACAAAGCCUGCAGAUACUUACUUUAAUCAUUUUGUAUGCGUCAUGCUUCUGUAUCAACAUACCUAGUUAUUGAAACUCACUCUUCUGUUCAUGGAAUUGCUGGAAACUUGAACUAUAGUGCUAUGCAAAAUACAUUUUUAGGUUAUCUAAUUUUAUUUACUUCAAAUUUUUUAUUAUUCAUUUAAAUUUUAUUUUAUUAAUUUAUUGUUCUAUAUAAUAAUGAAAAUAAUAACAAUAGUAAUUAUUUUGUCCUUCAUGAUUAUUAUAGAUGUAAAUAAUGUUUCAUGUAAGUAAUGGACCAUUCAAGCCUUUAAAUAAUAGACUUGGCAGUUUUUAUCUAUUCAUAAAAUAAAAAUUUUGUUUUGUAGAAAAGCAGUGAUCUUACCCUGUUAGGAAAAUAUUACAGUAUUGCUGUCAGUGCUCUUACAUCUCUUAAAGGGAAUGAGAGGAGGUGAUCUGUUUGGCUGUUCCUGCACCACGCCUAACCACACCUUUUGAUCAUUUAUUCGCUCUUAUUCUGCCCUGCUUAUAGUUGUGCUGCUCUGCUUCAGGUUGGAGCUGCCAUGCAAGUCAGGAAAAUACAAAAAAAUUGUCACAUGCAUCAGCACAGUGAUGUUAUGCUUUAUUUUUCUGCUUGUACUAUCUAUUACCACGAAAAUAGAGCCCCUGCAGUUUGGCACAGUUUAACCAGACACCUGGUAUGGAGCUCUCUGCUCUACCCAAGUUGUGAGAGAGCUCUGAUUAGACACCACCCCUAAAUUUAACAUAUAUUUCUACAGUAACAGAACUGUAAAUAUUUAGGAUAUAUGUGGAAAAACUAGGGAUGGGCAGAACGCUAUGCAUUCUGGUUUUCUGAAAUUUAAGUUGACUUAUAUUUUGCCCCUGGUGAUCUUUUAGCCUAUGGUCAUGUCCACAACCUAAAAUAAACAUAAACAUUAAAUAAAGCGUAGGAUAUUUCAGUAGGAUUUUUUCGCCAUGUGAUCAUGAACUUAUGCAAGCUGUUUCAUUAUAUAGGAGUGUUUAGCAUAUAUACUUUGUUGGCCAGCUUCUUGGACAAGUAUUAUGCAUAGAUCUGGACAACACAGGAUUUUAAAUGAAAAUUUUAUAUUAAAAGGAAAAAAAAAAACAGUA